rnacentral:rRNA from 1 species
UACGUAGGGUGCGAGCGUUAAUCGGAAUUACUGGGCGUAAAGCGUGCGCAGGCUGUUCUGUAAGUCAGAUGUGAAAUCCCCGAGCUCAACUUGGGAACUGCGUUUGAAACUACAGGACUAGAAUAUGUCGAGAGGGGGGUAGAAUUCCACGUGUAGCAGUGAAAUACGUAGAGAUGUGGAGGAAUACCAAUGGCGAAGGCAGCCCCCUGGGAUAAUAUUGACGCUCAUGCACGAAAGCGUGGGGAGCAAACAGG